GCGGCAUGCCUUACACAUGCAAGUCGAACGGUAGAGGGGCAACCCUUGAGAGUGGCGAACGGGUGAGUAAUAUAUCGGAACGUGCCCAGUCGUGGGGGAUAACGCAGCGAAAGCUGCGCUAAUACCGCAUACGAUCUAUGGAUGAAAGCGGGGGAUCGCAAGACCUCGCGCGAUUGGAGCGGCCGAUAUCAGAUUAGGUAGUUGGUGGGGUAAAAGCCCACCAAGCCGACGAUCUGUAGCUGGUCUGAGAGGACGACCAGCCACACUGGGACUGAGACACGGCCCAGACUCCUACGGGAGGCAGCAGUGGGGAAUUUUGGACAAUGGGCGCAAGCCUGAUCCAGCAAUGCCGCGUGCAGGACGAAGGCCUUCGGGUUGUAAACUGCUUUUGUACGGAGCGAAACGGUCUGGGUUAAUACCNUGGGCUAAUGACGGUACCGUAAGAAUAAGCACCGGCUAACUACGUGCCAGCAGCCGCGGUA
rnacentral:rRNA from 1 species